ACGGAAGGCAGCAGUGGGGAAUAUUGGGCAAUGGGCGAAAGCCUGACCCAGCAACGCCGCGUGAAGGAAGAAGGUCUUCGGAUUGUAAACUUCUUUUAUGAGGGACGAAGGACGUGACGGUACCUCAUGAAUAAGCCACGGCUAACUACGUGCCAGCAGCCGCGGUAAUACGUAGGUGGCGAGCGUUGUCCGGAUUUACUGGGUGUAAAGGGCGAGUAGGCGGGAAUGCAAGUCAGAUGUGAAAUACCGAGGCUUAACCUCGGAGCUGCAUUUGAAACUGCAUUUCUUGAGUGAUGGAGAGGCAGGCGGAAUUCCCGGUGUAGCGGUGAAAUGCAUAGAGAUCGGGAGGAACACCAGUGGCGAAGGCGGCCUGCUGGACAUUAACUGACGCUGAGGCGCGAAAGUGUGGGGAGCAAACAGGAUUAGAUACCCUGGUA
rnacentral:rRNA from 1 species